UGCCAGGUGGUCCAGUGGCACGGACGUCCGGCUGUUACCGGAAGACGAGAGUUCGAUCCCUCCCUGGCAG
rnacentral:tRNA from 1 species